rnacentral:rRNA from 1 species
GUCUAUUCUGCCCAUUGAGUAAAGUUCUUAAAAGGCCGCGGUAUUCUAACUGUGCAAAGGUAGCAUAAUCAUUAGUUUCUUAAUUGGAGGCUUGUAUGAAGGAUUGGAUAAAAAUUGAACUGUCUUUUUUUAAUAAAUUGAAUUUUAUUUUUGAGUGAAAAAGCUUAAAUAAACCAGAGGGACGAUAAGACCCUAUAAAUCUUUAUGAAGGUGUUUUUGUUUAAUGAAAUAUAAAUUGUUAAACUGUUUACAAUAAAAAAAUUCAUUAUGCUGGGGCGGUAGAGAUAUAAAAAAACUAUUUUAAAAAGUUAACAAACGUGUUUGUAGAGUAAAAGAUCUUAAUUAUAGAUUUAAAGAAUAAGUUACUUUAGGGAUAACAGCAUAAUUUUUUUUGAGAGUUCGGAUUGAAAAAAAAGUUUGUGACCUCGAUGUUGAAUUAAAAAUUCCU